GCGGCGGCCGAGGCUCGGGGUGAGUGAGGGGCGGCAGGGCUCUGAGCCUGGCGGGUUCCGGCUAUUCCCUUCGCGGUCCAGUUUAGUCCACUGCGAGGGCACCUGCAGCGCCGGGAUCUGAGUGCGAAACUCCGAGCGGAAGCUGGUCUGGCAGCCUCCAGGACCACUGGCUGCCCAUGAGAGACGAAGGAUGGCAUCCAAGGGGGCCGGCGUGUCUUUCUCCCGCAAGAGCUGUAGGCUGACCUCAGAUGCUGAGAAAUCCAGGGUCACAGGCAUUGUGCAGGAGAAGCUGCUGAAUGACUACCUGAACCGCAUCUUUCCUCUUCUGACCAUGCACCCCCAGCAGCCACCGGCAGUUACUCGGGAGGCUGAGGCAGGAGAAUCGCUUGAACCGGAGAGGCGGACGUUGCAGUGAGCCGAGGUCAAACCAGUGCACUCCAGCCUGGGCAACAGAGCGAGACUCCAUCUGAAAAAGAAACAAAAAGAAAAAAAAA
ensembl:lncRNA novel transcript